rnacentral:tRNA from 1 species
AAAGGGAUAGUCUAAUGUUUAAGACGUUGAAAUUUGGUUUCAAUAAUGUAGGUUAGAUUCCUAUUCUCUUUU